rnacentral:rRNA from 1 species
GUUUGUUUGGAGUUAUAAAGAAUUUAACCUGCCCCCUGAUUAACUAUUAAUUAAAGGGCCGCAGUAUUAUAACUGUGCAAAGGUAGCAUAAUCAUUAGGUUUUUAAUUGAAAUCUCGUAUGAAUGGUUGGACAAAAGAAAGACUCUCUUUAUAUUAAGUUUUGAAUUUAACUUUUAAGUGAAAAGGCUUAAAUAUUCUAAAGGGACGAUAAGACCCUAUAAAACUUUACAUUGUCAUUAAUUUUGAUUGAAUUUAUGAAAUAAAAAUUUUAUUUGAUUAUUUGUUAUGUUGGGGAGACAUAAGUAAAAUAUUUUUUUAACUGCUUGAUAGUUAUACAAUUAUUAGUGAAUAAGUAGAAGAUCCUUUUUAAGAUUAGUAGAUUAAGUUACUUUAGGGAUAACAGUGUAAUUUCUUUUGAGAGUUCUUAUCGAAAAAGAAGGUUGCAACCUCGAUGUUGAAUUAAAAUAUCUAUAUAAUGGAGAGGUUAUAUAAGAAGGUCUGUUCGACCUUGAAAAUUUUACAUGAUUUGAGUUCAAACCGGUGUGAG